AGUUAAUGAACUUGUACAAGUAUAUAUUUUGAAAAUAUAAAAAAGAAACAAUAAUUUUCUAUUAACUU
rnacentral:tRNA from 1 species